rnacentral:rRNA from 1 species
UACGUAGGGUGCGAGCGUUGUCCGGAAUUAUUGGGCGUAAAGGGCUCGUAGGCGGUUUGUCACGUCAGGAGUGAAAACUCGGGGCUCAACCCCGAGCCUGCUUCUGAUACGGGCAGACUAGAGGUAUGCAGGGGAGAACGGAAUUCCUGGUGUAGCGGUGAAAUGCGCAGAUAUCAGGAGGAACACCGGUGGCGAAGGCGGGUCUCUGGGCCGAAAUUGACGCUGAGGAGCGAAAGCGUGGGGAGCAAACAGG